rnacentral:piRNA from 1 species
CAACAGCCAUUUCAAGCUGUCAAUGAUG